GAUGAACGCUGGCGGCGUGCCUAAUACAUGCAAGUCGAGCGAACAGACGAGGAGCUUGCUCCUCUGACGUUAGCGGCGGACGGGUGAGUAACACGUGGAUGACCUACCUAUAAGACUGGGAUAACUUCGGGAAACCGGAUCUAAUACCGGAUAAUAUAUUGAACCGCAUGGUUCAAUAGUGAAAGACGGUUUUGCUGUCACUUAUAGAUGGAUCCGCGCCGCAUUAGCUAGUUGGUAAGGUAACGGCUUACCAAGGCAACGAUGCGUAGCCGACCUGAGAGGGUGAUCGGCCACACUGGAACUGAGAAACGGUCCAGACUCCUACGGGAGGCAGCAGUAGAGAAUCUUCCGCAAUGGGCGAAAGCCUGACGGAGCAACGCCGCGUGAGUGAUGAAGGUCUUCGGAUCGUAAAACUCUGUUAUUAGGGAAGAACAAAUGUGUAAGUAACUAUGCACGUCUUGACGGUACCUAAUCAGAAAGCCACGGCUAACUACGUG
rnacentral:rRNA from 1 species